CAAGUCGAACGAAGGCUUCGGCCUUAGUGGCGCACGGGUGAGUAACGCGUGGGAAUCUGCCUAUCAGUGGGGAAUAACGACGGGAAACUGUCGCUAAUACCGCAUACGCCCUUAGGGGGAAAGAUUUAUCGCUGAUAGAUGAGCCCGCGUACGAUUAGCUAGUUGGUGAGGUAAUGGCUCACCAAGGCUACGAUCGUUAGCUGGUCUGAGAGGAUGAUCAGCCACACUGGGACUGAGACACGGCCCAGACUCCUACGGGAGGCAGCAGUGGGGAAUAUUGGACAAUGGGCGAAAGCCUGAUCCAGCAAUGCCGCGUGAGUGAUGAAGGCCUUAGGGUUGUAAAGCUCUUUCGGGUGGGACGAUGAUGACGGUACCACCAGAAGAAGCCCCGGCUAACUUCGUGCCAGCAGCCGCGGU
rnacentral:rRNA from 1 species